rnacentral:lncRNA from 1 species
GCCCCGGCCCGCAUACAACGCUGUCUGCACCGCUCCCCUGCCUUCUUCCGGGCUCCCAGAGCACCGCUAUGGAGAUGCUCUCCCGGCAUUUGAGGAAGAAUUGAUUGUCCUCAUCCUGCAACUGUACUUGCCCAACCGAUAUUUAUUGAUGCCUGCAGUGUCCUGGGUGCCUACCAAGGGGCACAGAACUGGAUCCGACGCAGACCCUGCCUGCCUUCAGGUUGCUUGAAGAUGAACAGAGAGAUCGGACCUCUGCAUGAAGCCAGACUGCUCAUCAUUCCAGACAUCUUCAGCUGCUACACCCAGAACAAGCAUUCGAAAUAUGAACAGGAUGAGCACUCUCUAUGUUGCCCAGGCUGGUCUCAGACUCCUGGACUCAAAGCGAUCCUCCUUCGUCAGCCUCCCAAGUAGCUGGGACUGCAGAUUCAUGCUCUCCAUCUCCAGAUCAUGAACAGCAGCCAUUGUCCUGGGUCCUCCCUCCUCCCCAGAAGGACAUGAAUCCCAGGGAACAGCAGGUGGCCCUAGGUCCUCAGGCUGCCGCUCUUCCCUGGGCUGUCUGGCGCAACGACUGCUUUCCAAGGCCUUUCCUGUAUGUGAAGAGAAGACAGCUGAAGAUGAUCAAAAUGAUCUAAACCUCCUAAAUGGCCCAAAAUAAAGUUUUCUAUGUAAUUGUUUUAAAAAGAGCCAGAUGACUGAGAUUAAAAUGCAGCUCUACCAUGUAUCAGCUGUAAGUUAACAUCAGAUAAAUCACUUAAUUAAAUU